rnacentral:snRNA from 1 species
AUACUUACCUGACGCGAGAGCCACCUUGAUCAACUAGGAGGUCCUCUCAGGAUGAGGCCCUUUCAUUGCACUUCGACUGGGUUGACUCCUGCGAUUACCCCUAAUGUGGGUAACUCGAGCGUAUAAUUUCUGGUAGUGGGGACCUGCGUUCGCGCUCGUCCCCU